rnacentral:lncRNA from 1 species
GAGUGGUGGUCUUCAGCUGUGUUUGGUGCUCCAAACCCAUCUCGAUGUCAUGACCACGAUGUGGCCUUAGAUUAUUGAAAAGACAACGGUUAGAGGCAUAUACACGCGAUUUAUCAAACGAUCCGAACUUAAACCAUAGACAAGGUCGUUUUUGGUGGUUACCCUUGGAGUGGAUAGUGGUGAGCUAACCGAUCUAGGAUAAGAACGCGGACAGUGAGGUGAUACAAUCUUUGUUUUCUUUGACGACUAAUUUUAUGCAAAUAUUCAAUGUUAAGUGGUUUUAUGUAGAAAAUUAAACUGCCAAAGACCCUUAUUUACAGAAUUACCUACGGUUCCUUGAAGUGGGCAUGGGCCUUGCUCGAGAAAAUUAAUUAAACCGAGAUUUGGAUCGCUACAAUUUUUCCCUUCGACGCUGAAUCUCGCUCCUGAACCAACUUUCCAAUACCAACC